UGGGGAAUAUUGGACAAUGGGCGAAAGCCUGAUCCAGCAAUGCCGCGUGAGUGAAGAAGGCCUUCGGGUUGUAAAGCUCUUUUGCCCGGGAAGAUAAUGACUGUACCGGGAGAAUAAGCCCCGGCUAACUCCGUGCCAGCAGCCGCGGUAAUACGGAGGGGGCUAGCGUUGUUCGGAAUUACUGGGCGUAAAGCGCACGUAGGCGGCUAUUCAAGUCAGAGGUGAAAGCCUGGAGCUCAACUUCAGAAUUGCCUUUGAAACUAGGUAGCUUGAACACGGGAGAGGUGAGUGGAAUUCCGAGUGUAGAGGUGAAAUUCGUAGAUAUUCGGAAGAACACCAGUGGCGAAGGCGGCUCACUGGACCGUUGUUGACGCUGAGGUGCGAAAGCGUGGGGAGCAAACAGG
rnacentral:rRNA from 1 species